rnacentral:rRNA from 1 species
UAGGGAAUAUUGGGCAAUGGCCGAGAGGCUGACCCAGCCAUGCCGCGUGCAGGAAGAAGGCCUUCUGGGUUGUAAACUGCUUUUGUCCGGGAAGAAAACGCCCCUGCGGGGGUAACUGACGGUACCAGACGAAUAAGCACCGGCUAACUCCGUGCCAGCAGCCGCGGUAAUACGGAGGGUGCAAGCGUUGUCCGGAUUUAUUGGGUUUAAAGGGUGCGUAGGCGGCCCGUUAAGUCAGCGGUGAAAUCCCGGGGCUCAACCCCGGAACUGCCGUUGAUACUGGCGGGCUUGAGUUCGGUCGAGGCGGGCGGAACUGGUGGUGUAGCGGUGAAAUGCAUAGAUACCACCAAGAACCCCGAUUGCGAAGGCAGCUCGCUGGGCCGAAACUGACGCUGAGGCACGAAAGCGUGGGGAGCGAACAGGAUUAGAUACCCUGGUAGUCCACGCCGUAAACGAUGAUCACUCGAUGUUUGCGAUACACGGCAAGCGUCCAAGCGAAAGCGUUAAGUGAUCCACCUGGGGAGUACGCCCCCAAGGGUG